rnacentral:rRNA from 1 species
CCAGAGAUGGAUUGGUGCCUUCGGGAACUGUGAGACAGGUGAUGCAUGGCUGUCGUCAGCUCGUGUUGUGAAAUGUUGGGUUAAGUCCCGCAACGAGCGCAACCCUUAUCCUUUGUUGCCAGCGGUUCGGCCGGGAACUCAAAGGAGACUGCCAGUGAUAAACUGGAGGAAGGUGGGGAUGACGUCAAGUCAUCAUGGCCCUUACGACCAGGGCUACACACGUGCUACAAUGGCAUAUACAAAGAGAAGCGACC